ensembl:ncRNA C05B5.15 ncRNA
ACUUUUUGGCUGAAGAAUAAUAUUUUUGAACGACAUUUUCAAAUAUUCCAAAAAAUGUUUUGGAAAAUCCGAUUUUCAGGGUAGAGUUUUAGAGGUCAAAAUCAAAACAUUUAAAAAAAAUCCGAUAACAGCAAAAUUUUUGCACCAAA